rnacentral:tRNA from 1 species
GCGGCAACGCCAGGUGGUUGUCGCUAUAGAGCCUUGUCUGUACGAUCAUACACAACCCGGCCUUAAAGUCUGCCGGCACAGCGAGAACGUGGGGCCGGAUUCCCUCCGAAGGAAGGGGUCAUGCGUUCGAAUCGCGUCGGGUGCGCCA